UGUAGCGGUGAAAUGCGUAGAUAUCUGGAGGAACAUCAGUGGCGAAGGCGACUCCCUGGCCAAAGACUGACGCUCAUGUGCGAAAGUGUGGGUAGCGAACAGGAUUAGAUACCCUGGUAGUCCACACCGUAAACGCUGUCUACUAGCUGUGUGUGCCUUUAAGGCGUGCGUAGCGAAGCUAACGCGAUAAGUAGACCGCCUGGGGAGUACGGCCGCAAGGUUAAAACUCAAAUGAAUUGACGGGGGCCCGCACAAGC
rnacentral:rRNA from 12 species